UAUGAACGCUGGCGGCGUGCCUAAUACAUGCAAGUCGAGCGAACAGACGAGGAGCUUGCUCCUCUGACGUUAGCGGCGGACGGGUGAGUAACACGUGGAUAACCUACCUAUAAGGCUGGGAUAACUUCGGGAAACCGGAGCUAAUACCGGAUAAUAUAUUGAACCGCAUGGUUCAAUAGUGAAAGACGGUUUUGCUGUCACUUAUAGAUGGAUCCGCGCCGCAUUAGCUAGUUGGUAAGGUAACGGCUUACCAAGGCAACGAUGCGUAGCCGACCUGAGAGGGUGAUCGGCCACACUGGAACUGAGACACGGUCCAGACUCCUACGGGAGGCAGCAGUAGGGAAUCUUCCGCAAUGGGCGAAAGCCUGACGGAGCAACGCCGCGUGAGUGAUGAAGGUCUUCGGAUCGUAAAACUCUGUUAUUAGGGAAGAACAAAUGUGUAAGUAACUAUGCACGUCUUGACGGUACCUAAUCAGAAAGCCACGGCUAACUACGUG
rnacentral:rRNA from 1 species